AGCUCCAAUAGCGUAUAUUAAAGUUGUUGCAGUUAAAAAGCUCGUAGUUGGAUUUCUGGGUCAGCGACUCUGUCCGCCGAAAGGUGAGCACGGAGUGGCGAGCCCAUCCUGCUGAAAGUGCCCAUUGGUCUAUGAUCUGUGGGUAACUUCAGCACCUUUACUUUGAAAAAAUUAGAGUGUUCAAAGCAGGCUUACGCUUGAAUACAUUAGCAUGGAAUAAUGGAAUAGGACUUUGGUCUUAUUUUGUUGGUUUCUAAGACUGAAGUAAUGAUUAAUAGGGACAGUUGGGGGCAUUAGUAUUUAAUUGUCAGAGGUGAAAUUCUUGGAUUUAUGAAAGACUAACUUCUGCGAAAGCAUUUGCCAAGGAUGUUU
rnacentral:rRNA from 1 species